AUGAAAUGAAGAAUAAAAUUACCCAGUAUAUUGAGUUGUAUACAUGUAGAUGUAUUCCCACCCUAAAAUACAAGAUCUAGGAUGACAGGGAUCUUGCAUAUUUUGUUUCACCCUGUGUCCCUGUCCCUUUAAUAACCUCUCAAUAUUUGAUUACUAAAAAAUUACCGGAUUCGAAAGUAUUAAGAUGGAAAAUUGCAGACUGCAAUGGAAACACUUAACCUUAGCCUAGUUAGGGAUAUCAGAGAGGGUUUCUCUGAGGAAGUGACAUUUAAGAUGAGACUUGAAACCACUAGGCAAAGAAGUGGGGAAAAAGUGAUACAGGCAGAUGAAACAACAUAUACAAAGGGUCUGAAGCUGAGAUGUUCUAAAAAUCUCUGAAAGGUAGUAUAUAUAGCUGUCUUGAGAAUUGAGGGGGAGAGAACUGAGGACUACAGGUCCUUAGGACAGAGCAGAGAAUGGGAAGCCCAGGAAGGAUUUUAAGUGGGUUGUAUCCUGCUUUUUUUUCACUUCAUGCGGCCUUUUCCCAUAUUGCUAUGUGGUUUUCCUUCUACAUGGCAAACAUUUUUCUGCAGAAUACUUUUGAGAGUGUAACACUUCUGCAUAAUACCUUUGGGAGCACAGCAUAAUUACAUUGUUGGACCAUGAUUUUCACUCCUAUAAGAAUCAUUAUAAAUUUUACUUCUAGAUAUGUAGCCAGGAAAAAUGAGAACAUGCCCAAGCAAAAACUUGUUCAUGGGGAGCACCUGGCAGGCUCAGUCAAUAGGGCAUGCAACCCUUGAUCUCAGGGUUGUGAGUUCAAGCCCCACGUUGGAUGUAGAGAUUACUAUAAAAAUAAAAUUUUUAAUUAAAAAAACACCUGUCCAUGAAUAUUCAUAACAGUAUUAUUCAUAAUAGCCAAAAAAGUGAGAUAUCACAAGUGUCCACCAACUGAUAAAUGUAUAGAUUAAAUGUGGUACAUCUAAACAAUGGGAUAUUUGGCCAUAAAAAAGGAGGUACUGAUAUAUGAUGUAACAUGGAUGAUCCUUGAAAACAUAUGUUGUCUUUUGUGCCUGGUUUCUUUCACUUAGUGUAAUGACUCCAUUUAUAUGAAAUGUCCAGAAUAGGAAAAUCUAUAGAGGCAUAAAGGAUUAGUGUUGCUUACCACUGGUUGCAAAGAUGGAAUUGGGAGACGAUAGCCAAAGGAUGUUGGGUUUCCUUUUGAGGAAAAUGUUCUAAAAAUUGAUUGUGAUGAUGGUUGCACAACUCCGAAUAUACUUAAAACUAUUGAAUUGUACAUUUAAUUGAAUGGAAUGAAAUGUGAAUUAUAUAUCAAUAAUGCAGUUGUCAAAAAAAAUGAAAGAAACAAAAAGAAUCCAAUUAACAUCUUCAUUUGUGACCUUUUUUGGGUUAUUACUGGGUCCAAUAGUACUUACAGCUUCAUGGCUUUUGAUGAAUACCAAUUUGCCAGGCCAUUUGGCAGAGGGGUUAAACCAAUUAAAAUGUAACUGGGAACAUUUAAGAGCUUCUACUUCAUUAUGUACUUAACCCUUUUGAACUUUAUGUUUAUUAAAACUGUCUUACUGUCUGUCAGAGUGCCAGUGACAAUUUAAUCUACAAUACUAUAAACGGAAUUUCAAGUAAUUAAUAGGUGGUAAGAACAAGUUUCGGUUGUCCCAACAAAAACUAUCAACUUUCUUCUACCCUGUUCACCCAUAAGACCUUGCAAUCAACAUCUCUAUUUUCUUAAUAAUUGUGAAAUUGCUUUUACAGUGAGUAUAGUUGUAAAAAAGGAAAGCCUUUGAAGUUCCCUUAGAAAAGAAAUAAGGCAUAUGAAGUAAAUAUAUUAAUAUCUAUGUAUUGGCAAGAAAUUCAUCGUUUUUCAUUUUUUUCAGUCUUUUUAGAAAUGUUUCCCUUUUGUCCUAAUAGCAAAAAUAAAUAUCUUUCCAUAUGGCACUUGAAAAUAAUGAUAACUAAAAUACAUUGGUUACUUACUAUGUACAGGCAGUGCACUCAUGUUGCAUUCUCUCAUUUUUAUUCCCACAGCACUCCUCCUCCUCGAUAGUAGGUAUUUUUUGUUGUCCCCAUUUUACAGAAGAUAAGGAGGUAAAGUAAAUCUGCAGGCGUGAAGAGGCAUAGCCAGGAUUCAGACCUAGGAUGUCUAACCCUGGAGCCUGGUGUGCUUCCAAUUACUACCCUUUCCUGCCUCACCCUGUGGAUAUUUCUGGCCUACAUUAAAUCUUUGAACAAAAAUACUAACCCUCUGGUUAUUUUUGUCUUGCCUUUAAUCUUAGAACACAUAAUUUUUUUUUAAGUUUUUAGUUAGCAGUUUAUAUUUGUAUUUCUAGAGAGUUGAUUUCUGCUUAAAAGGGGGUUAUUAAAUUUUCUUAGACCUGUUUUAGUUCAUGACUGGAAUAUUGAAUCUUGAAAUAAUAAACCUGCCUUGCUCCAAAUGCAGAGUGGUAGAGUAGGGAAACACCUGAGAAACAGUGUUACUGUCAUAAGAAAGGCUCUGUUCGGAAAUGCAAAAUAGUGUAAAGUGAGACAACUGAAGGGAAUCAAGUUGAUGAGCAGAAAAUGGUUUGCCGUCCUUAAUCUUUAAAGAAAAAUAAUUAGAAGUACACUGCUUACAUUUUUAUGAGUAUAGAAGACAGGCUAUUAAAUCUUUAAUGACAGAAAUUUCUGGUCUCCUUUGUCUUAAAUGAAACUUUUAGGAUAAUGUUCCCAGCAGAAGAUUUAUGAAGAUACUGUCUUGAAGGAGAAAUACUGAGGCCUACAGGAACCAAGGAAAUGAUUUAUUUCCACUAUAACCACUUAUCUUUAGCAUCUGCUUACACUUAAGGAUCCUUUUUACAGCUUCCAAAAUAUGUUUUCAUUAAUCACUAUGGUGGCAGAAUGUAAGAGGAAUAAACCUCCCAAAUAGACAUCAAGAGAAAUCAAAUAAUAUAAAGACCUCCUACUUACUAGUAAGUGGGGAGAAAGGGCUCAGACAAAACAAGUCAAAAAUUCAAAAAUAGGAAGCCACAAGCUGCUUUCCAGACUGACCAACUCUGAAGGCAAGCUGGCUUUAGUUUAGGUUUUUCAUAUUCAGGUGCUUAUUUAGAAAGACCUCACCCAAAGGGAUCAUUGGUUGCAUGCUUCAUUAAGAAGGGCCUCAGAAGUCAAACAGCAGUCACCUAUUUUAAAUUUGUAAGUCAAAGAGUCUUCAGUAGAAAUAUUCUUUUGUUGUUCUUGUUGGAACAAAAAUACACCAUUCAAAUGCCACCACUUUACUCUUUCACAAACUGUUUUGAAUCUUGAACGACCAAAUUUAGUAACUUCAGGGAAAAAAAUCUUUUUAAACAUAUCUAAUAUAAUCAAACUACCAAUACAUAUUGUUUCUUGUAAAACAUUUAUGGGGGAUGUAUGGACAGAGAGGUAAAUAUCUUCCAAAGUUUUAGUCUCAUCACAACAUAUGUUUACUGCAACCCUUCUUCUUAUAAGUAAAGGAAAAGAACUAUUUGGAGAAUCAAUUGAAAUUAUCCACAAUCAGGGUUUCCAAAACUUCUUUCUCACAUAGCUAAGCUACUUUUAUUACCAGAUGGUGAUUUAGUAAAUACUGAGUCCCAGUCGCAUAUUGGGCUAGGCACUGUAUGGAAGGUGAGUCAUACAUGGUCCUGUUUGUAAGAAACGUAUUCAUUCAUUCUGUAAUUCAGCAACAUUUACUAGCUGUGUGCCUGUGAGCAAGUUAAUCAGCUUCUCUAUAACUUGACCUCAGUUUCAUCAUCUGUAAAAUGAGGGUAAUAAUAUGUCUCGUGGUUUUUAUGAGGAUUAAACGGGAAAAUAUUUGCAAAAGACUUACUUAGAUCAACGUAUGACACUGGAGACACUAACAGGCUAACUAUUGUAAGAGUCCUUUAUGUGCCAGGCUUGAGUGUGAUUUUUUUUUUUUUUUUACACUUAAUACAGUUAAAGAUGGCCACCCUCAAGCAGCUCUCAGCCAUGCAAGUGAAACAAUCGCAUUAAUGAACAUUAUUCAUAUAACAUGAAAAGUUUUAUAAUAGUUUUAUGCAGAAUGCUAUGGGUAAACAGAGGAGAAAUUCUGUUGAUCAGGGGUGCUUUUAUAAACUUGAAUGUGGCAUUAUUUGCUGUGUAUCAAAUUUAUAUUUACAAAAUAACAGCUGUAUAAAACAAGUAUUUAGGGUCUUACACAGCCUUGGAGGCUCAAGAUCCAGGAGUAUCUUAGCUGGGUAGUUCUAAUUCAGGGUUUCUAAUGAGACUACAGGGAAGUUGUUGGCUGGAGCUGAUGCCAUGAGGGGCCUGGAGAACCUGCUUGCAAGUUCAUCGUGUGGCUGUAGUCAGGAGGCUUCAGUUCCUUGCCACAGGGCCUCUCCAAAGGGCUGUUCAUGUUGGCUCCCUCAUACAAGUGAUGAGAGAGACAGAGGCAAACAGAAACAGAGAAUCAGAAUACCAAGGUGGAAGCUGCAGUCAUUUUAUAACCUAAACUGGGAAAUGAUGUACCGUCACUUCUACCAUAUUCUUCUACUAGUUAGAAGCAACUCACUAAAACCAGGCCAUACUUAAGGAGAAGGGAAUUAAACUUGAAGAGCAUCAAAGAAUUUGUGAACAUAUUUUUAGGACCAUCACAGGUAUGGAAAGAAGAGUAAGGUUUAGCUCAGUAGACAGGAACAAACUUAUGACAGGCAAGGGAAGAACAGAAACAAAAGAAUACAGAAUUAAGGGAGUUAUUGUUAUUCCCAUUUUAAAGAUGAGGAAACAGGCUUAGAAAGGUAAAAUAACUUUCCCAUCAUGUGUUAAACGGUAAGUGGCAGAGCCAGAUUCUGAACCCUAUUUUCAGUUCUAGAAUGCAGAUCUUAUCACUACCUGUAUUAGGCAAGUUUCUUCAGAGAAACAGAAUCAAAAGGAUGCAACUCCAUCUAUAUCUACAUUUAUCUCUAUAUGGAGAGAGAGAAAGGGGAAUUUAUUCCAAGGAAUUAGCAACCAUGAUCAUGGAGGUUUGGUAAGUCCAAAAUCUGCAGAGUAGGCCGGUGGUCUAGAGACCCAGGAGGGAGUUGCAGUUCAAGUCCAAAUGCAGUCUGCUGGCAGAAUUCCUUCUUGUUCAGGAAAGGUCAGUCUUUGUUCUAGUAAGGCCUUCAACUGAUUAGAUGAUGCCCACCCAUGUUAUGGAGGGUAAUCUGCUUUAUUCGAAGUCCAAUUUAAAUGUUAAAUCUCAUCCAAAAAAAACACCUUCACAGAAACAUCCAAGAUAAUUGUUGACCAAAUAUCUGGGGACUACAGCCUAGCCAAGAUGACAGACAAAAUUAACAUCAUAUUACCCUGUACAGUACAGACAAUUUGGGGUUCAGAUUGCAAAAGGGCCCCAAAUACCAUACUCAGCAGAUUGCUGAAUUUACAAAAAUUAACCAGUGGCUCUCUCAUGGCUUUCUGAUGUCUAACCAGACAUGACUUUGAACAUCUGAUAUUGGUGGGGCAUUCCCAUAGAAUAUUGUAAUUCUAUUAGGGAAGGUAUAUUGGAAUAUUUGUCAUGCUUCAUCUUCAGUACUAUUUUGACAAGUGAAAAAUUUGGUUUUAUUGACAUUACACUUUUUCCUUUGAAUGAUUUCCUUUCCAAUCCACAUAGUUUUAGUAAUUAGCCUUUCCCAUAUUUCAAAAUGUUUACUCAUUUCAAAACUAUUUUUCUCUAUUCUCCUCACUUGGACUUUUUUCUCUUAACUUUUUCUUUUGUUUUCGUGCCUUUUUUCAAGGAUUCCUUUUAAGCCAUGCCUCCUACCAGACUGAAAUGCAAAACUAGGAAGAAAGACAAAAAUGUAGGUGGGAACUAAAGGACCCAGUUUGUAUACCAGCUGGACUUGGUGGUUCUAAAAGUAUAAAUAUUGUUCAAGCAUCUUUUCUUUGCAGAGGGUGCAUAAAAGAAAAGCUGUUUCAUCCUUGCUGCUGGAGAUAUUUUUCUUUGUAGCUAACAUCGAGCAGGAAAUUCUUUAUGUUUAUCUCGGAGCUUCAGAACUUGAAGUCAUAAUGGUUUCAGCCUAUUCUUUUGGCCCACUCCAUUCUGGGCCUUCGUCGAGAACAAGACACAUAUAGCGUGGGCAGGAGAGUCUUGUGAGGCCACUGGAAAGUGAUCUGAAUUACAAGUCUGUGGUUACAUCCUGCCAUAGCCAGAGAGAACAGGAAGCAAAGUCUGGACAACCAGCAGAGCCAAAGAUGCAACAAACUAGAAGGGAAACAGAGCUGGACUUGCAAAAUAAAUGAGGGCAGAGACCUGGUGGUAAAGCAUAAAAGAAGGUUCGAGAAGAGUAAACUUUGAUCUGUUUGAUAGACGUUGAAAGAAUUUCAUCUCUGUUCUCUGCCUGGUUGCCUUUGCACAGCUGCGCUGCUGGCUCUCUUCAGAUGUGUACUGACCUUGGCAUGACCUGUGGGGGUCACUGCCUCACAUUUUAUGCUUAGCCAACCAUCGCUGUCCUCAUUGCUGUUGUUGGAUUAGGUCCCUUGCAACUCAGUCAAGCUGAGUAAGCACACAUGUGUAAAAGAUGUUUGUAACAGUGCUACUUGUUGGCUACUUUGAGAGAAAAACCAGAUUCCUGGGUCAGGUCUGGACUACUGAAUCUGAACUUCUGAGAUGAAGUCCUGAAUCUGCAUUUUAACUGCUGCACCCUCAGGUAAAUCAGAAUGUCUCAAGAGGAUCCUUGGGACACAGAAAACAUGUUGUGCCUGAUGAAUGCAACCUGUGUGUGAGCCUGCUUCAGAAACUGUCAUUGGACAACACCAUAGCUCUCUGCUUCCUGGAGAGGUUCCUGCAGGAGUUUUAAAGUUGUUACAUGAUGUGCAACUUUAUUAAUUUUAGUUGCAACUGUGAGCGCAUACACAAUGCGCUA